CACCAGUGAAUGGUAAAGCAGAUGCAAAUGACGACGAGCCUGCAGUUGACACCCUUUGUCUCUAAUCUCCGACAGCGACAACUCCUAAACCCUAAUUUUCCAAAGAAACAUGCAACCUUCACUUGUUGCACAAUCCGGAAUUCAGGCCAUCUUGUAACUGAGACUCAGAGCCUUGUUCACCAAUUCAAUCCGAAGAUUCCCAUAGAGGAAGCCGUUACUCCCCCAACAUCAUGGUACACUGACCCUUCUUUCUUCUGCCAUGAGCUCGAUCGUGUCUUCUAUAGAGGCUGGCAAGUUGUGGCAGGUUCCACGGAGCAGAUAAAGGAUUCCCGUGACUUUUUCACUGGAAGACUAGGAGAUGUGGAAUAUGUGGUCUGUCGAGAUGACAGUGGCAUGGUCCGCGCCUUUCACAAUGUCUGUCGUCAUCAUGCCUCUAUUCUUGCAUCUGGAAGUGGAAACAAGUCCUGCUUUGUCUGCCCUUAUCAUGGGUGGACAUAUGGAUUCAAUGGAGCACUUCUUAAGGCAACUAGAAUAUCGGGAAUGCGAAAUUUUAAUGUAAAUAAUUUUGGCCUUUUACCAAUCAAAGUAGCUAUCUGGGGGCCUUUUGUUCUUCUCAAUUUGGAUAAAGAGAGUCUUUCUCAAAAGGAAGUUGAUAUUCAUGGUGUGUCAAAAGAAUGGCUUGGUAGCUGUUCGGAAUUUCUGAGCACCAAUGGAGUUGAUUCUUCACUAAGUUAUGUUUGUAGACGUGAAUACACGGUUGAAUGCAAUUGGAAGGUUUUCUGUGAUAACUACUUAGAUGGUGGCUAUCAUGUGCCAUAUGCACAUAAAGGCCUUGCAUCUGGUCUUAAGAUGGAUUCGUAUGCUAUCACAAUGUUUGAAAGGGUUAGCAUCCAAAGUUGUGAAGGCAGCUCAGAGAAGAGCAAAGAGAAUUAUGAUAGAGUUGGAAAAAAAGCUAUAUAUGCUUUUAUUUACCCGAACUUCAUGAUUAAUAGGUAUGGACCUUGGAUGGACACCAAUCUUGUGGUUCCACUAGGACCCAACAAAUGUCAAGUAAUAUUUGAUUACUAUCUUGAACACUCUCUGAAGGUAAUUUGUAGUGAUUUAAGCAUAUGCCUGAUAUUGUAUCCAUGAUUCCGAAUUGCACUAAGGAUAAAAAGAUCUGCUUCCUUGUAUUGGUUCUCUUUUGGACCAUUAGCUGGAAAUUUUAUUUGCUGGCAUAUUUUAUUGACAACCGACAAGUAAUUAUGGGUGAUGUACUAAAACACACAUUUUCUUGCUUUGAUGGAUUCGGUGUAGAACGUAGUCAAGACUUUAAUUAAUACUAUUUUUCAGAAAUUAAUUCAGGAUUUAUGCUCAUAUUGAUGGCUCCAUUCCUUAUAGGAUUGAGCUUUUCAGUUUCUGGGUUUUCACUCCAUAAAAUCAGUGAGGAUGACACAGAUUUCAUAGAAAAAAGCUUGCAAGAUAGUGAGGAAGUGCAGAUAGAAGAUAUUGUGCUGUGUCAGGGUGUCCAGAAGGGCCUCCAGUCCCCAGCAUAUUCAGUGGGCAGAUAUGCUCCAACAGUUGAGCAG